UCCAGACUCCUACGGGAGGCAGCAGUGGGGGAUAUUGCACAAUGGGGGAAACCCUGAUGCAGCGACGCCGCGUGGGCGAAGAAGUAUUUCGGUAUGUAAAGCCCUAUCAGCAGGGAAGAAGAAAUGACGGUACCUGAGUAAGAAGCACCGGCUAAAUACGUGCCAGCAGCCGCGGUAAUACGUAGGGGGCGAGCGUUAUCCGGAUUCACUGGGUGUAAAGGGAGCGUAGACGGCCAAGCAAGCCAGGGGUGAAAGCCCGGGGCCCAACCCCGGGACUGCCCUUGGAACUGCAUGGCUGGAGUGCGGGAGGGGCAGGCGGAAUUCCUGGUGUAGCGGUGAAAUGCGUAGAUAUCAGGAGGAACACCGGCGGCGAAGGCGGCCUGCUGGACUGCAACUGACGUUGAGGCCCGAAAGCGUGGGGAGCAAACAGGAUUAGAUACCCCAGUA
rnacentral:rRNA from 1 species